UGAUGUUUAUUAUCCUUCAUUUGCAGAAUGGGUCUCGUGCAAGAUCAAAAUAAGACUUUUGGCUGCUCAUGCCUCUCUCAAAUGUUACACAUUUGCAUUCUUGAGGAGACAUCAUAGUGGGGUUCCAGAUGAGUAUCUUGCACUAUUACCAUUGUUCUCAAUGAGUUCAAAUAUUCUGCAAAUGAAGGAUAAUAAACAUCA
rnacentral:misc_RNA from 1 species